GGCUCUCUCUGACGCCACCAGGUCCUCUCCUGUCAACACACGCAUGAUUCAGACAGGAACCACAUGGAAUGCUGGGAAAAUACAAAGAUGCAGACCAUCCUGCAGGCCUCUGGUCUCAGUGUUUCCCUUCAGACUCCCAGUGGGCUCACAGCUUCAGGAUGACCAGAGACCUUUCUGGAACAGGAACACCUGGCCAAAUGCACUGGUGACACAUUCAUUUAAAAAAAUGUGGCUGUUCUUAUACCAUUGAUAUGCAUGAACCGUCUGUAUUUUACUGUUUUGAAUAAACAAAAUAUUAUGAAA